rnacentral:rRNA from 1 species
CCUAGGGCGGCAGCAGUGGGGAAUAUUGGACAAUGGGCGAAAGCCUGAUCCAGCCAUGCCGCGUGUGUGAAGAAGGCCUUCGGGUUGUAAAGCACUUUCAGUGGGGAAGAAAGCCUUGGGGCUAAUACCCUCGAGGAAGGACAUCACCCACAGAAGAAGCACCGGCUAACUCCGUGCCAGCAGCCGCGGUAAUACGGAGGGUGCGAGCGUUAAUCGGAAUUACUGGGCGUAAAGCGCGCGUAGGCGGUCUGAUAAGCCGGUUGUGAAAGCCCCGGGCUCAACCUGGGAACGGCAUCCGGAACUGUCAGGCUAGAGUGCAGGAGAGGAAGGUAGAAUUCCCGGUGUAGCAGUGAAAUGCGUAGAGAUCGGGAGGAAUACCAGUGGCGAAGGCGGCCUUCUGGACUGACACUGACGCUGAGGUGCGAAAGCGUGGGUAGCAAACAGGAUUAGAUACCCCUGUAGUC